rnacentral:rRNA from 1 species
UCGAGCGGAGUUGUGGUGCUUGCACCAUAACUUAGCGGCGGACGGGUGAGUAAUGCUUAGGAAUCUGCCUAUUAGUGGGGGACAACAUCUCGAAAGGGAUGCUAAUACCGCAUACGCCCUACGGGGGAAAGCAGGGGAUCUUCGGACCUUGCGCUAAUAGAUGAGCCUAAGUCGGAUUAGCUAGUUGGUGGGGUAAAGGCCUACCAAGGCGACGAUCUGUAGCGGGUCUGAGAGGAUGAUCCGCCACACUGGGACUGAGACACGGCCCAGACUCCUACGGGAGGCAGCAGUGGGGAAUAUUGGACAAUGGGGGGAACCCUGAUCCAGCCAUGCCGCGUGUGUGAAGAAGGCCUUUUGGUUGUAAAGCACUUUAAGCGAGGAGGAGGCUACUCUAGUUAAUACCUAGGGAUAGUGGACGUUACUCGCAGAAUAAGCACCGGCUAACUCUGUGCCAGCAGCCGCGGUAAUACAGAGGGUGCGAGCGUUAAUCGGAUUUACUGGGCGUAAAGCGUGCGUAGGCGGCUUUUUAAGUCGGAUGUGAAAUCCCUGAGCUUAACUUAGGAAUUGCAUUCGAUACUGGGAAGCUAGAGUAUGGGAGAGGAUGGUAGAAUUCCAGGUGUAGCGGUGAAAUGCGUAGAGAUCUGGAGGAAUACCGAUGGCGAAGGCAGCCAUCUGGCCUAAUACUGACGCUGAGGUACGAAAGCAUGGGGAGCAAACAGGAUUAGAUACCCUGGUAGUCCAUGCCGUAAACGAUGUCUACUAGCCGUUGGGGCCUUUGAGGCUUUAGUGGCGCAGCUAACGCGAUAAGUAGACCGCCUGGGGAGUACGGUCGCAAGACUAAAACUCAAAUGAAUUGACGGGGGCCCGCACAAGCGGUGGAGCAUGUGGUUUAAUUCGAUGCAACGCGAAGAACCUUACCUGGUCUUGACAUAGUAAGAACUUUCCAGAGAUGGAUUGGUGCCUUCGGGAACUUACAUACAGGUGCUGCAUGGCUGUCGUCAGCUCGUCUCGUGAGAUGUUGGGUUAAGUCCCGCAACGAGCGCAACCCUUUUCCUUAUUUGCCAGCGGGUUAAGCCGGGAACUUUAAGGAUACUGCCAGUGACAAACUGGAGGAAGGCGGGGACGACGUCAAGUCAUCAUGGCCCUUACGACCAGGGCUACACACGUGCUACAAUGGUCGGUACAAAGGGUUGCUACCUAGCGAUAGGAUGCUAAUCUCAAAAAGCCGAUCGUAGUCCGGAUUGGAGUCUGCAACUCGACUCCAUGAAGUCGGAAUCGCUAGUAAUCGCGGAUCAGAAUGCCGCGGUGAAUACGUUCCCGGGCCUUGUACACACCGCCCGUCACACCAUGGGAGUUUGUUGCACCAGAAGUAGGUAGUCU